rnacentral:rRNA from 1 species
UACGUAGGGCGCAAGCGUUGUCCGGAAUUAUGGUGCGUAAAGAGCUCGUAGGCGGCCUGUUGCGUCCGCUGUGAAAUCCCGGGGCUCAACCCCGGGCCUGCAGUGGAUACGGGCUGGCUAGAGGCAGGCAGGGGAGAACGGAAUUCCUGGUGUAGCGGUGAAAUGCGCGGAUAUCAGGAGGAACACCGGUGGCGAAGGCGGUUCUCUGGGCCUGUACUGACGCUGAGGAGCGAAAGCGUGGGGAGCGAACAGG